UGGGGAAUAUUGCACAAUGGGCGCAAGCCUGAUGCAGCCAUGCCGCGUGUGUGAAGAAGGCCUCGGGUUGUAAAGCACUCUCAGCGAGGAGGAAGGUGGUGAGCUUAAUACGCUCAUCAAUUGACGUUACUCGCAGAAGAAGCACCGGCUAACUCCGUGCCAGCAGCCGCGGUAAUACGGAGGGUGCAAGCGUUAAUCGGAAUACUGGGCGUAAAGCGCNCGCAGGCGGUUUGUUAAGUCAGAUGUGAAAUCCCCGGGCUCAACCUGGGAACUGCAUUUGAAACUGGCAAGCUAGAGUCUCGUAGAGGGGGGUAGAAUUCCAGGUGUAGCGGUGAAAUGCGUAGAGAUCUGGAGGAAUACCGGUGGCGAAGGCGGCCCCCUGGACGAAGACUGACGCUCAGGUGCGAAAAGCGUGGGGCAGCAAACAGGAUUAGAUACCCUGGUAGUCCACGCUGUAAAACGAUGUCGAUUUUGGAGGUUGUGCCCUUGAGGCGUGGCUUCCGGAGCUAACGCGUUAAAUCGACCG
rnacentral:rRNA from 1 species